UCGGAUUACUGGGCGUAAGCGCGCGUAGGUGGCUUGAUAAGCCGGUUGUGUAAAGCCCCGGGCUCAACCUGGGAACGGCAUCCGGAACUGUCAAGCUAGAGUGCAGGAGAGGAAGGUAGAAUUCCCGGUGUAGCGGUGAAAUGCGUAGAGAUCGGGAGGAAUACCAGUGGCGAAGGCGGCCUUCUGGACUGACACUGACACUGAGGUGCGAAAGCGUGGGUAGCAAACAGGAUUAGAUACCCUGGUAGUCCACGCCGUAAACGAUGUCGACCAGCCGUUGGGUGCCUAGCGCACUUUGUGGCGAAGUUAACGCGAUAAGUCGACCGCCUGGGGAGUACGGCCGCAAGGUUAAAACUCAAAUGAAUUGACGGGGGCCCGCACAAGCGGUGGAGCAUGUGGUUUAAUUCGAUGCAACGCGAAGAACCUUACCUACUCUUGACAUCCUGCGAACUUGUGAGAGAUCACUUGGUGCCUUCGGGAACGCAGAGACAGGUGCUGCAUGGCUGUCGUCAGCUCGUGUUGUGAAAUGUUGGGUUAAGUCCCGUAACGAGCGCAACCCUUGUCCUUAUUUGCCAGCGCGUAAAGGCGGGAACUCUAAGGAGACUGCCGGUGACAAACCGGAGGAAGGUGGGGACGACGUCAAGUCAUCAUGGCCCUUACGAGUAGGGCUACACACGUGCUACAAUGGUCGGUACAAAGG
rnacentral:rRNA from 2 species